UACGUCUACCAUACUACCCAUACUACCCCGAGAUCAAUCCCGUCUGAUCUCGGAAGCUAAGCAAGGUCUGGCCUGGUUAAUACUUGGAUGGGAGACCGCCUAGGAAGACCAGGUGCUGUUGAUGUAA
ensembl:rRNA 5S_rRNA 5S ribosomal RNA